rnacentral:rRNA from 1 species
UUAUUGAUAUGUUUUCUAGAUGGGUUGUAGCUGGCUCUUCGGAGUAUGUGCACGCCUGUCUGGACUUCAUUUUCAUCCACCUGUGCACCUUUUGUAGUCUUUUUCAGGUAUUGGAGGAAGUGGUCAGCCUAUCAGCUCUUUGCUGGAUGUAAGGACUUGCAGUGUGAAAACAGUGCUGUCCUUUACCUUGGCCAUGGAAUCUUUUUCCUGUUAGAGUCUAUGUUAUUCAUUAUACUCUUAGAAUGUCAUUGAAUGUCUUUACAUGGGCUAUGCCUAUGAAAAUUAUUAUACAACUUUCAGCAACGGAUCUCUUGGCUCUCGCAUCGAUGAAGAACGCAGCGAAAUGCGAUAAGUAAUGUGAAUUGCAGAAUUCAGUGAAUCAUCGAAUCUUUGAACGCAUCUUGCGCUCCUUGGUAUUCCGAGGAGCAUGCCUGUUUGAGUGUCAUUAUAUUCUCAACUCUCCAAUACUUUGUUGUAAAGGAGAGCUUGGAUUGUGGAGGUUUGCUGGCUCCUUACUUGGGGUCAGCUCCUCUGAAAUGCAUUAGCGGAAUCGUCUGCGAUCUGCCACAAGUGUGAUAACUUAUCUACACUGGCGAGGGGAUUGCUUUCUGAUGUUCAGCUUCUAAUCGUCUAAGGACAAUUUCUUGAAUGCUUGACCUCAAAUCAGGUAGGACUACCCGCUGAACUUAAGCAUAUCAAACCGGGGAGAGAGAA